UCCCUCACGAAGCUAGAAUGCUGGCAACUGCCCAGGGAGUAGAAGCCUUUAAAGAUUUCAUGUCUCGAGUGAAACACAGUAUAAAUAAAUAAAUGCAUUAUGCAGAGCUUCCUUUAACUUAAAAAGAGGGAAGAGCUAAAGAUUCGAUAGAGCCAAUGACUGACUUGGCUAAGUCAAUGUAACUAAUUUGGAGGGGUUUACACUGUAAAGAGGCACCAAUAUAAAACCAGGAGAGAUGUUGUGAAGGAGACCUGGGAGCCCUGCACUAUACUGGGAACUUAGGAGCCCUAGAAAAUGGGCCUGCUAAGCUGUGUUCUUCUGAGGCAGAAGUACAGAGUUAUACAGAAGUGAAGAGCACUUGCUGGAGUUGUUCCAUGUGCAUCGUUGCAGUAGUCACGCCAGUGCUAAAUCUAGUCAUCUCCGGGUUGUGAUGGGCUGGCUGAAUCCUUUAAAAGCUCCUAACAGUAUUAAACUGUCAGAGUCACAAAGCUGGGGCUAUACAUCAAGGAUUUCCUCUGCAGUGCCUCCACAGCGUAAUCUGUAGCGUCCUGUCCUCCAACUAAUAGUGGGGUCCCAUAA